GUCGCCGCGCGGUCAGGGGCCGUCACCGCGCGGGGUUCGGCGGGCGUUGUCCUCGAACUCAGCGGCCUGCGGCCAGGGCGCCGCCGGCGGGUCGAUCCCCAAGUGCGUGUGUGCUCCCGCCACCCAUGCGGGUUCCUUCAAGUGCCGCCUCCACAGGACGAACUCCCACGGCCACUCGCCGCCCUCCCCAACCUCGAUCCCUCCUCCUCCGGCACCCGUGAACUCAUCCCGCACCCCUACCGUGGAAGCUCAGUGACCACAAAGAGGAUCGGCGAUUCCCGAUGGCUUUGGAGAGAUUCUUAAUUUGGUAUCUUUGUUGUCUCAUCCACCCAACCCUAUUCUUCCGCUGCUUCCCCCUUUUUAUGUAUGGAGGUGAGAGAGAGAGAGAGAGAGAGAGUUCUGUGUGUUCUUG
rnacentral:lncRNA from 1 species